rfam:Smittium mucronatum strain ALG-7-W6 scaffold-25691, whole genome shotgun sequence.
GACCAAGUAGCAUAAUAGGUAAUGUAAAAGAUUGCAAAUCUUUUUGAUAAGUGUUCGAUUCACUUCUUGGUCU